rnacentral:lncRNA from 1 species
UUUUACUGCGAUUUGACAAUAUGGAACACAUUAAUAUAUUGCAGUAAUGGCCCGUCUGCCUUUAAUUGCACAAAGUGUGAGGCGUAAAAGAAUUGGUAUUGCAGUGACAAUAUGGUUGGAAAUCUGUAGAAUUGCGAUUUGGUUCUUAUUUAGAAUGGGUGCCAGCCUUAGCCUACAUACUUAUAGACCAAUGAUUAGGUCCUAUACCUUAGAUUUUUAUGCAAAACGGGAUUAUGUGAAAAGACUUGUAUAUGCUAGUGACGAGACCUGUAUUGAACAAACUAGGAUGAAUAGAACUGCCUUUUUUAAACUAUGUGAGAUGUUAGAAUCGUUAGGGGGAUUGAAGUCGUCAAGAAACAUGCUUGUUGAUGAGCAAGUGGCAAUGUUUUUACAUAUCAUCUCCCAUCACCUUAAAAAUUGAGUUAUCAAGCAUCACUUUAAAAGGUCCGGGGAAACUGUUAGCAGAGCAUUUCAUAGUGUUUUAAAUGCUGUCAUACGCUUAGAAGAUGUCUUAUUUAAAAAGCCGGAGCCAAUUACAGCCGAUUCUUCUGACACAAGGUGGAAAUGGUUUAAGGUAGUAGACUGAGUUUUAUAUAUAGCUUGUACAACAUUUAGUUGACUUAGAUUUAAAUUAGUAUUCUAACAGAAGGUUUUAUAUCAUGUGAUAUAGAAUUGCUUAGGUGCUCUUGAUGGAACCCACAUAAAGAUUAGGGUGCCAACAGUUGAUAAACCUAGAUAUCGAACCCGAAAAGGUGACAUAGCAACAAAUAUGCUAGGUGUUUGUACACCUGAGAUGCAAUUUGUUUAUGUUCUUCCUGGUUGGGAAGGUUCAGUUGCCGAUGGACGGGUGCUCCGAGAUGCCAUUAGUAGAAGACAUGGACUAAAAGUUCCUCAUGGUACAGUGUAUACUUAGAGGAAUUUGAAUUAUUCAUUAAGAUCAAACUUUGUUUGCUGAAUUAAUCAUUUUUUAGCCAAUUUAUAUUAUAGGUUGUUAUUAUCUAGUUGAUGCUGGAUACACAAAUUGUGAGGGAUUUCUUGCACCAUUUAGAGGACAGCGAUAUCAUCUGAACGAGUGGCGUCAGGGUUAUCAGCCAAGUUCUCCGCAAGAGUUUUUUAAUAUGAAACAUGCCUCAGUACGUAAUGUCAUUGAAAGAUGCUUUGGCUUAUUAAAACUUAGAUGGGGAAUACUUAGGAGUCCAUCGUUUUAUCCUGUACGGGUGCACAAUAGAAUUAUUAUUGCAUGUUGUUUGCUCCAUAAUUUUAUUCGAACCCAUAUGAGUAUUGAUCCCAUUGAAGCGGAGGUGGGAGAAGGAUUACCUACUAAUAUGGUGGAUGACGAUGAACCGAAUAUCACAAAUAUUCAUCCAUCGGAUGCUUGGGCAACUUGGAGGAUGGAACUAGCCAACCAAAUGUUCGAUGAAUGGCAAGCAUUUAGAAAUUAGUUAGGUUUAGGGACAAAUUCAGUUUGAAUUAAUUUGUUGAUGUUAUUUUAUGUAACUAGUUUAUGAAACUUUGGUGGUCUUUGAUUAAAAUUCUGUAUUGUACUAAACUUUGUUGAAUUAUAAUUUAAUUAUCUUUUCAUUCAGCAUGUGUUAUAAAUUUAAAUUUAGUAUUGAACUACCGAUAUAAUAUUAUAAACUGUUCACCCAACAAUUAAAUGAUAUUCAAAAUAGUAAAUAAUGUUACUUUAUUUUUUUUCUUAAGAACAAUAUGUCAGGUGUUCCACCAACGGGUGCUUCUUCUCAAGCUUCUCGAGGAAGCAAAAGAAAAUGGGUUCCAGAGGAGGAUGCAGCCUUGGUUUCUUGCAUGGUGGAUUUGCACAAUGUAGGAACAUUUAAUGCUGAUACUGGGUUCAAAGCCGGUUAUUUGAACGAGCUAGAGAAAAUGCUAGAAAAGGCUUUACCAAGAGCAAUGUUGAAGGCGAAACCAAAUAUUGAAUCUCGGAUUAGGUGCCUAAAAAGGGAAUGGUCAGUCGUCUACGACAUGCUUAAUGGCCAAAACAACAGUGGUUUUGGUUGGGACGAGCAUAGGCAGCUCGUUGUUGCUGAAGAUGCAGUUUGGGAAUCAUAUGUAAAGGUAAGUUGUGAAUCAAGUAUUUAUUUGUUUUUUUACAAAACUUAUAACUUAAAUGAUUUCCUCAUUUUUUUUAGAGUCACAAAGAAGCCUCUCAGUUCAGACAUCGUUCUUUCCCUUACUACAACCAGCUUACUGCGAUAUACGCAAGAGAUCGGGCGACUGGGAAAGACGCUCAAACAGCUGCUGAUGUUCUUGAAGAAAUACAUGAUGAGGAUGAACGUACUACAGAUAUGAAUGAAGAGAGAAACACAUUCUAUGACUACGAAGCUGACGUCUCUUUAGACGACAUGGAUGUUUCUGGUACAGAUCCGCGAGGAUAUAGAGACCAAGGGGGUUCCUCAUCUUCAAACAAGAGAAAGAAGAAAUCUGAUGCUCGUGAUAAUGUGUAUUCUUCAUUUGAGGAGGCUGCCACCUUGUUGGGGGAAAAAAUCGAGGCCAUUGGCGAUAAAAUCAGUAUGAGUAUUGCCUCCGAGGUGGUAGUUCAGCAGAAGUCAGAAGAAAAGAUGGAAGAGAAUGCUUCAAAUUUAUAUUCAGCCUUAUGGUCAAUUGAAGGUUUAACCGACGAUCAGCGGUAUGAUGCUUUGAGUAAAAUUCCCGAUCAUC